GGACGCUCUCCACCCACAGCCUCCCGCUCUGGUUCUGACGGUCCCGCACGCCCGCCGCUGCCUCCGCCGGCGCUCCCGAUUCAUCCAUGAGCUCGGAUUUCCCACAUUACAACUUCAGGAUGCCUAAUAUUGGAUUCCAGAAUCUGCCUCUCAACAUAUAUAUUGUGGUUUUUGGCACUGCUAUAUUUGUCUUCAUCCUUAGUUUACUCUUCUGUUGCUACUUGAUUAGGCUAAGACAUCAAGCACACAAAGAAUUUUAUGCCUAUAAACAGGUUAUAUUAAAAGAGAAAGUAAAAGAACUGAAUUUACAUGAACUCUGUGCAGUGUGUCUAGAAGACUUCAAGCCUCGAGAUGAGUUGGGGAUUUGUCCGUGUAAGCAUGCCUUCCACAGAAAGUGCCUUAUUAAGUGGCUGGAGGUUCGGAAAGUGUGUCCACUGUGCAACAUGCCAGUUCUGCAGCUGGCCCAGCUGCACAGUAAGCAGGACCGUGGACCCCCACAGGGGCCCCUGCCAGGGGCAGAGAACAUUGUAUAGCUCACCACAGGAUCAAACUGUUGCAGGACCCACGCUCACAGAGGCAGGCGGAACACACAUGCAGGCACCAGCUGCCACUUCCUUUGCCUCAUGAAAAACUCCUGGGCCGGCUAAGCUAAGACCCAGACUUCUGGGUCAUGUGACAACCAAAGCUGACAGUACCCAUGUCCCACGCCAAGAGAAGAGAAGUUAAAUGAGCCUGCAGGUUUGGUUCAAGGAGCUUCAUGAGAGUCUCUUGCCAACUCAAUUACAUGCUGUCGUCCAGACACUUCUCUCCAUGUCAGGCGAGCACCCAUUUUUGAGGCAGGAGUUCAAGCAGCAGCAGCAACUGAAGGCUGAGGCACCUUUCUAUCUCGUGAGGCAGUUGUCUCAGAUGUUGCUAAACAAGUAGGUGGUCAAUCAUAGAUGUUCGGGUACAUGGGUCAGGCUCCUUCCCCUUCCCACUCUAAAACAUGCUUCCCCUAGUUUUUUCCUAGCCCAACACUUUUCACUCAAUGACAUUCCCCACCUUUUAAGAAAUAUUUUAAGUUCAUUUUUGCCCCUAGAGAAUAUGGAAAUUAAAGCUUCCUUUAGGUAGCCAUGGGGCCAUGGACUGGUGCCUCUUGGUCCUCACCCACCUCCCAGUGUCCUGCCACCCAGUUUCCCCAGAUUCAGUGCUUUUGCGCCCCUGACCUGAAACUUGAAAAGGAAUUGCAGGGAACCUCCACCCUUCUGUCAUGUGAUGAAUCUCUUUAGUCUUUCACGUUAGCUGUUAAGAACUUGAGUAAAGGACAUGUCUAAAUUAACAGUGUAUAAAUUUAGGUGAAAUUUGCAGUUGAUAACUAGAAUAUGCUGGGUCAUGGUUCUUUAGUAGAUAAGAUUAAUGUGCUUCCAUUUGAGAGUAUCAAGAGGAACAUAGAAAGGCUUGGUCAGUUUUCCAGUUGUUUUGGAGCCCACUUGUUCCAAGAUGCUAAUUGUUUUCUCCGUUUUAGAUCAAACAUCAGCAUUCUUUGCUUACCAAUCCAGGGCUCACUUCUGUGGCUACAGGGACAAGGAGAACACCCUGCCUGCUCUAGGGGCAUGUACUCAGAAAGGGAGCCUGCCAAUGUUAAGGGACUUGUCUGUACUUUGAUGUAGCUCCUAUGCCAGUACAAGCCUGGUGGUCAGCACCGUGGGCCAGCUGCACACCGUCCCUGUCUGCUCCUUCCCUCCCAGGUUCCGAGAGAAAAAGGAGGCAGAUGGGACCAGUGUUGAAGUCCCUCCUGCUGACACCGUCUUCCAAGAUAGUGUUCCUGAUCAUUGUCGUCUCUGGUAACAGAUCACUGCCAGGAAGGAAGGUAGUUUAGCCAUGUAGUCUAGCCCAUUGGGGUUCAUUCACUAGACAUUAUGUAACUCCCUCAAUAAAAGGUUUAUGAAA